rnacentral:piRNA from 1 species
UGAUAUGCUAACUGGUGAUGAGCAAGUA